GGAAAAGAAACCAACAGGGAUUGCUCUAGUAACGGCGAGUGAAGCAGCAAUAGCUCAAAUUUGAAAUCUGGCGUCUUCGACGUCCGAGUUGUAAUUUGUAGAGGAUGCUUCUGAGUAACCACCGACCUAAGUUCCUUGGAACAGGACGUCAUAGAGGGUGAGAAUCCCGUAUGCGGUCGGAAAGGUGCUCUAUACGUAGCUCCUUCGACGAGUCGAGUUGUUUGGGAAUGCAGCUCUAAAUGGGAGGUAAAUUUCUUCUAAAGCUAAAUAUUGGCCAGAGACCGAUAGCGCACAAGUAGAGUGAUCGAAAGAUGAAAAGCACUUUGGAAAGAGAGUUAAAAAGCACGUGAAAUUGUUAAAAGGGAAGGGAUUGCAACCAGACUUGCUCGCGGUGUUCCGCCGGUCUUCUGACCGGUCUACUCGCCGCGUUGCAGGCCAGCAUCGUCUGGUGCCGCUGGAUAAGACUUGAGGAAUGUAGCUCCUUCGGGAGUGUUAUAGCCUCUUGUGAUGCAGCGAGCGCCGGGCGAGGUCCGCGCUUCGGCUAGGAUGCUGGCGUAAUGGUCGUAAUCCGCCCGUCUUGAA
rnacentral:rRNA from 1 species